rnacentral:rRNA from 1 species
UACAGAGGUGGCAAGCGUUGUUCGGAAUUACUGGGCGUAAAGGACGCGUAGGCGGCCCACUAAGUCAGACGUGAAAUCCCCCGGCUUAACCUGGGAACUGCGUCUGAUACUGGAGGGCUUGAGUAUGGGAGAGGGAUGUAGAAUUCCAGGUGUAGCGGUGAAAUGCGUAGAUAUCUGGAGGAAUACCGGUGGCGAAGGCGGCAUCCUGGACCGACAUUGACGCUGAGGAGCGAAAGCUAGGGGAGCAAACGGG